GACGAACGCUGGCGGCGUGCUUAACACAUGCAAGUCGAGCGGUAAGGCCCUUUCGGGGGUACACGAGCGGCGAACGGGUGAGUAACACGUGGGUGACCUGCCCUUAGCUCUGGGAUAAGCCUGGGAAACUGGGUCUAAUACCGGAUAUGACCUCAUGACUCAUGUUGUGGGGUGGAAAGCCUUGUGCGGCUAGGGAUGGGCCCGCGGUCUAUCAGCUUGUUGGUGGGGUAAUUGCCUACCAAGGCGACGACGGGUAGCCGGCCUGAGAGGACGACCAGCCACACUGGGACUGAGACACGGCCCAGACUCCUACGGGAGGCAGCAGUGGGGAAUAUUGGACAAUGGGCGCAAGCCUGAUCCAGCGAUGCCGCGUGUGUGAAGAAGGCCUGCGGGUUGUAAAGCAC
rnacentral:rRNA from 1 species